GUCCAAAUAUGAAUAGGUCGGAUCCUAUUUCUGUUAGUUCUGGUAAAAACUGUGAGAGAUGCAACAACUGUGAUCUUAAGGAAAUGGAGAUGGAAAGCUUGGAGGAUUAUACUUACGUCACAAGCCAUGGACCUGAUAAGUCCUCGACUAAGGUGUAUUAUGAUAAUGGAAAAAAAGGGCACGAUAGAAUUGGUGUUGUUUCUAUGGAUAGAGAAUCGCCGGCGAGAUUUGUCGAUGAAGCUGCGUUGUAUCCCACCUCAGAUUUUCUCAGUUCAUGUCACUUGUGCAGGAAAAGGCUCCAUGGGAAAGACAUAUACAUGUACAGAGGAGAGAAAGCAUUCUGUAGCAUGGAGUGUCGAUCAAGACAAAUAAUGAUAGACGAGCGCAAGGAACAGUGCAGAUCAAAGGUUUCAAGAUCUGCAGAUGUUUCAAGCUCCUCUUACACAAGAAGCCCUAUCUUCUCAACUGGAAUUCUUGCCAUUUAGACCUGAUAUAUAAAACAUAUCUUCAUCACCCACUGCCUAUAUCUCCAAGAAAAUUAUAUAGAUUUAUAAUUUUGAAAGGGAA
rnacentral:misc_RNA from 1 species